AAUUAAACUACAAUUUUUUUUAUCAUUUCAGUGACUGGACAUUUUAUAGAAACAUCACCUCUGUGCAAAGACUUUCAUUGCCAAAAUGCACACAUGAACCCAGAAAUUUUUCGCAUUUGUCAACAAAUUGGUUGUUACAAUGAAAACCCAAGACCAUAUCCUCCCCCAAUAAAUUCUCCACCAGGAAACUUUCCACCAGUAAACUAUCCACCAGGAAACUUUCCACCAGGCAACUCUCCAACAGGAAACUCUCCGCCAGGAAACUCUCCACCAGUAAACUAUCCACCAGUAAACUAUCCACCAGUAAACUAUCCACCAGGAAACUUUGCACCAGGCAACUCUCCACCAGGAAACUCUCCGCCAGGAAACUCUCCACCAGUAAACUAUCCACCAGGAAACUAUCCACCAGGAAUCUUUCCACCAGGAAUCUUUCCAGGCAACUCUCCACCAGUAAACUUUCCACCAGGAAACUCUCCACCAGUAAACUUUCCACCAGGCAACUUUCCACCAGGAAACUCUCCAGCAGGAAACCCUCCACUAGGCAACUCUCCACCAGGAAACUUUCCACCAGUAAACUUUCCACCAGGAAACUCUCCAUCAGGAAACUUUCCGCCAGGAAGCUUUCCACCAGGAAACUAUCCACCAGGAAUCUUUCCCUCAGGCAACUCUCCAGCAGUAAACUUUCCACCAGGCAACUCUCCAGCAGUAAACUUUCCACCAGGCAACUCUCCACCAGGAAACUCUCCACCAGUAAACUUUCCAUCAGGAAACUAUCCACCAGGAAACUUUGCACCAGGAAUCUUUCCCCCAGGCGACUCUCCAGCAGUAAACUUUCCACCAGUAGACUUUCCACCAGGAAACUAUCCACCAGGAAACUUUCCACCAGGCAACUCUCCACCAGUAAACUCUCCACCAGUAAAUACUCCACCAGUAAACACUCUACCAGGAAUCUUUCUCCCAGGCGACUCUCCAGCAGUAAACUUUCCACCAGUAGACUUUCCACCAGGCAACUCUCCACCAGUAAACUUUCCACCAGGAAACUAUCCACCAGGAAACUUUCCACCAGGAAUCUUUCCACCAGUAAACUCUCCACCAGUAAACUCUCCACCAGUAAACUCUCCACCAGUAAACACUCCACCAGUAAACACUCCACCAGUAGACUUUCCACCAGUAGACUAUCCACCAGGCAACUCUCCACCAGUAAACUUUCCACCAGGAAACUAUCCACCAGGAAACUUUCCACCAGGAAUCUUUCCACCAGUAAACUCUCCACCAGUAAACUCUCCACCAGUAAACACUCCACCAGUAAACGCUCCACCAGUAGACUUUCCACCAGUAAACUAUCCACCAGUAGACUUUCCAUCAGGCAACACUCCGCCAGUAAACUAUCCGCCAGUUCCACCAUAUUAUGAUUCAGGGCCAUAUUCUCGACCACCUCCAUCAACGUUUCCACAAGCAUUUCCACCAACAAUGUAUCCGUCGCUUCCACCGUUUUAUGAUCCAGGACCGCAUUCUCCACCAAUGAUGCAGCCAUCACUUCCUUUUGUACCACAUGCACCAGCAACUGGUCCACCAUAUUAUGGCUUCUACCCUUCCUAUUCUUGGCACCAUCACUCAGCACCAGUGCCACCACACCACACUAAAGUCCCAGCACCUAUAAAAGAAGAAGCAGCAAACUUAACAUACCCUGAUAAUGAUAAUGGAGAUAACAACAGCGAUUGGUUAAUAAAAGGCUUCGACUGGCCAGGAUGGCAAGUUGUGGCAUCGAAUGCCUCUGAGGUAGCGCUCCUAAAAAAAGGUUUGAAAAAGAUUGUUGAUGAUGCUGGUCAGUCCUGGAAAGCAAGGGUGUCAAAACAUUUCAAGGAACAAAAGAAAUUAUUUGGCUUUUUGAACAAGUUAAACGCUGACUUCAACAAGUGCAAUUGUAUAGUAGCUUUGUCCAAAUGGUUGGAAGCUAUUGGUUUGUCUGCCAAUGAUGGAACUUACUUUAAGAACUGGCUCAACGACAUUGUAAAACCAGAUAAAGGAGAUAACUCGAAUAAUAUCAGGUACUCUCAACAGCAACAACAACAACAAUCCAACUACAACCCUUAUGGAUUCUAUGGAGAUCCUUAUCUGAUGUACAACCCACACUAUUUCAACAGUGACCCCUAUGCACCAAGUGUGAACAACAUGUAUGACAGUUGGUCAUCUGGGAUGUCUUAUCCUUUAACUUUUGUGCCUGGUACCAUUUAUCCCAACAUCGAUCGACCAUAUUCUAAUCAACAUCAAGACCAGUGGCCUGUUCCAAGCAAGAAUUUCGAUGCUGCUUCCCAAGAUGAUAAAAAACCAAUUCCUCUCGUCCAACAGAAUUCUACAACACCCAAUACUCCUAAUCCUCCGCAUUUACAACUGUUUUCUACAUCAACAAUCCUCUAAGACAAGGCAAAUAUCUAAAUAGUAUCAAUGGUAUAAAUGUGACUGCCACAACAACCUGGGAAAUUUCUAAAGAGAAUGGACCCAUUGAUUUAAAUUUGGGUGUCGUGGCA
rnacentral:misc_RNA from 1 species